UACGCAGGGUGCGAGCGUUAAUCGGAAUUACUGGGCGUAAAGCGUGCGUAGGCGGUUCGCUGUGUCCGAUGUGAAAGCCCCGGGCUUAACCUGGGAAUGGCAUUGGAAACUGGCGGGCUUGAGUGCGGCAGAGGGGGGUGGAAUUCCGCGUGUAGCAGUGAAAUGCGUAGAGAUGCGGAGGAACACCGAUGGCGAAGGCAGCCCCCUGGGUCGACACUGACGCUCAGGCACGAAAGCGUGGGGAGCAAACAGG
rnacentral:rRNA from 1 species